CGACGUCGCAUGCUCCCGGCCGCCAUGCGGCCGCGGGAAUUCGAUUAGAGUUUGAUCAUGGCUCAGAUUGAACGCUGGCGGCAGGCCUAACACAUGCAAGUCGAGCGGUAGAGAGAAGCUUGCUUCUCUUGAGAGCGGCGGACGGGUGAGUAAUGCCUAGGAAUCUGCCUGGUAGUGGGGGAUAACGUUCGGAAACGGACGCUAAUACCGCAUACGUCCUACGGGAGAAAGCAGGGGACCUUCGGGCCUUGCGCUAUCAGAUGAGCCUAGGUCGGAUUAGCUAGUUGGUGGGGUAAUGGCUCACCAAGGCGACGAUCCGUAACUGGUCUGAGAGGAUGAUCAGUCACACUGGAACUGAGACACGGUCCAGACUCCUACGGGAGGCAGCAGUGGGGAAUAUUGGACAAUGGGCGAAAGCCUGAUCCAGCCAUGCCGCGUGUGUGAAGAAGGUCUUCGGAUUGUAAAGCACUUUAAGUUGGGAGGAAGGGCAGUAAAUUAAUACUUUGCUGUUUUGACGUUACCGACAGAAUAAGCACCGGCUAACUCUGUGCCAGCAGCCGCGGUAAUACGAAUCACUAGUGAAUUCGCGGCCGCCUGCAGGUCGACCAUAUGGGAGAGCUCCC
rnacentral:rRNA from 1 species